UCAUGAAAGCCGGCUGUACCCGAAGUCAUUGUGCCAACUGCAAAGAGGCAGAUGCCGAAGGUAUGGCUGGUGAUUGGGAGUG
rnacentral:rRNA from 1 species